AAACGUAGGUGGCGAACGUUAUCCGGAUUUACUGGGCGUAAAGCGCUCGCAGGCGGCUUCGUAAGUCUGACGUGAAAGCUCCCGGCUUAACUGGGAGAGGCCGUUGGAUACUGCGGAGCUUGAGGGCAGGAGAGGAGAGUGGAAUUCCCGGUGUAGCGGUGGAAUGCGUAGAUAUCGGGAGGAACUCCAGUGGCGAAGGCGACUCUCUGGCCUGACCCUGACGCUCAGGAGCGAAAGCGUGGGGAGCGAACAGGAUUAGAAACCCCAGUAGUCC
rnacentral:rRNA from 1 species